ACCAAACAAAACGGCGACAAAUGUUGGGACAAGAUGACUGUAUGGAUCCUGUUCAACCACAGGGGCACGACAUAUAAAAGUUAAAAUUCACUCUAAAGUCUUCAAUGAAACUCCAUAUGUGUAAAGAAAGAGUCCAGGAGAGUGAUAUUGAGUAGGAUCGUAGGCUACUGCGUCCGCCGUCGCCUGAUCUGUUGAUAUGUCUCUAAUCCGGCAGAGCGUCAAUGAACCGAGCAGAAGGAGGAGGACAGACAGACAGGCAGACACAUUCGAUAGCUUACAAGGAUGACUGAAAGCUAAGGCAUACAUUACCACUAAGGUCGAUUAUUGUAUGAAGUCACAAAAAAAAAUAGGUGUACCUUUUUGUUUAAGUUUACUGAACUUUCACAUAAACUUGAGCCUUGUUGAUGACGUUUAGGGAUUGUGACGGCUUCCCCUACUGUCAGUCAAAAGCCACUUUGCUGUCAUCUCCAAACUGAAAUCUAUCCCAUUGGUUCAGUUUUUAAUCACUAAAAUGUCAAACUUAACCAAAGAACUAUAAGCCAUAAUAUGUUACAUCCUUUUCUCGCCCAUAGGUAAUCUCAGUCAUUUAGAGUUUAGUUUCCCUUUCUGCAAGCUAUGUUUAUGAGUGUUAAUAUUCUGUAAAAAGCGAAUCAUUUUGAUAGGCCAUUCAUGAUAAAGAUUCAGCAAGAAUAAAACGUGCUAAAUUGUGCAAUCUUAAAAUGUGGGGAAAUAGACAAACUUCCCUUUUAUAAGAAAUUCAUGUUAAGAUGUAUUUAAUCUACCAUCCAAACUGAUUGAUAAAAAUGAGAAUCAGCCUGUCCAUGGCCCACAUUCAAAUGUUGUGUAAAAUGUAGGGACGUGGUGUUAGUGGAGUUUGUAUUAAAACGGUAGCGAAGCGAAGGAGAAAACAAACACACACACAGUCACCAACAUUUACACGACAACACACGGAAUAGGCUACUGCCCCACAUGGAAAAGCUUUAUAUUGUACAUUUACGAGGAAAAUCAAUUGAAGUAGAAUGGUUGAAACACAGCCCAGACGAGGAUCUCCUAGUUUAAAGAUUUAAAUGUGGAAAUGUUGCCACCGCAUCGCAUUUUUUUCACAAGGCUUUGGCAUUUGCACCAGUAGUGAACACACACAUAGGCUACAACACACACAAUAGUGCGGAUGUCUGUGGUCACUGCACAAACCCCAGCUACGCAGAAUAGGAGAUGUUCACAUUUGGAAUGUGGAUUAAAAAAACAAUGUUGCUCCAUCUAAUAGAAGGCUAUACAUAAAAUGUACAAAUAAGAUGGAUGGCAAACCAACGGGAAUAGCCUACGUCCGUUUCCUACCAAAAGGAAUAGGAACGAAUAACAUCGAAUACAUUUCGAUUCCCCGGAAAGGACACCGGGAUAAAGAUAGCAUCAGAGUACAGUUGACGCAGGUACCUACAGCGCUCUACCCACUCCUGGAGCAGCACGGACCUUUCUCACCUGCUCAGAAGGCGCCGGACCCCUUAACACGCCACCUAUCUUCACGCGGAGGGAUAAUUGAGGAGUAUGUGUGUGAGCGUCGUUUGGAGAAGAACGUGAUCAAGUUGUUGUCUCCCUUGAGAUUACAUUUAUCAUUUGUAGGCUAUGCUUUGAGUCAAAGGUUAGAGGAAUUACCCACGAAGCAGACUUCCAAUAGCGACAUCACAAAUGAAAUAAAACAGCACUGUAAUUGCAGUGAGAGAGAAGAUCUUUAUAAUUCGGCGACAGGCACUGUCCAUACUGGCAUAUCAGUCAAAUCUGUGAAAGGGGCGCCGAAGUACCUGAUUGGAGCGCACAGGUAGUUUACCUGUACAUAUAGUUCCCUUCCUGCGUGUAUCCAGAGGCACAACAGCGGAUAGGUAGCCGACCUCUGCCUUUUUAUCUUGACUUAGUGACUGUAUAUUCACAUUGAAAAUCCUUCUGUGCCAUUCCGCAUUGUAUUUAUUGUACAAAAACGAAAGGGGGAAGAUGCAGACAUAUUUUUCUACCGGGCUCUCACUGGCAUUAACUAAACACGCUGCGGCAAAGGCGUAAUUUACAACCUGCAAAUAUGCAUAUCAUACUAUAUCGUGCUUUUUUUUAUUAUGUUUCAUGUUUAUCAUAGUUAAAAAUAAAAAAAUCAUCAUCACUUGUAGGCUCCAGUCAGUCAUGUGCAGCGGAGAGUAACUACCACAAAUGGUUUGUGGUUGGUAAAGUAGGCUAUUCCCCUCCCUUCUCAGUAUAUAUUUAUUUUCUGGAUGGAUGGAUGAUAAGUUCACAAAUGGAUGGAAGCGGCUAUAUGAUGAACCCACUCAAAGCCAUUUGGAUUUGAAUGGAGCUCAUACGAAACCAGGAAUAUGGAAACUUGAUCAAGAUGGCAGGUUAUCAGGAGGAAGAGCGCUGGGUGCUGGUGUCCUCAUCACGUUCUCAACUUACUGUUACUGUAUGGCAGAUUUCGUUGAGCAAUUCAUUUGGUUUUGGGCUGUUCCCUGGCGUCUCCACCUCCCAGAGAAAUGUCUGAGGCCUUGAUAUAUUCCUCUCAGGUUUCCAUGGCCGCACCGCCCGGGCCAGAUCCCGUUGCACUGAUGUCACUCAUGAAUUGAACCACCUCUCUACGGGAAGGGAUUCACAAGCUGGCUUCCGGGUUACGCGAGCAGUGUGUCAAGAAGCAGUGCGGCUUGGCAGGGUCGUGUUUUGGAGGAUGCAUGGUUCUCGACCGUCGCCUCUCCUGAGUCCGUUGGGGAGUUGCAGUGAUGGGACAAGUCUGUAACUACCUACUUACUCAAGCACAGUAGAUCUACGUAAUUGUAUCUUCUUGACCCUACACUUAGUUACUACACCAUUAUCAUUCUUCUAGACAUACGUCUUUGUAGGCACAUAGUCUUACUGAGGAGGCAUUUCAGCUAAUAUCACAAAUCAUUCAGAAUGUUGCUGGUUAUAAGGCUUUCUAGUACAGUAUUUUCAUCUGUCAUUUGAAAGGCAGCCAUAGGGCGCUUGUUAAUGUGACACCAAGCGGAGUCACGCUUUCAUCAUAAGUGUUAUGAAAGUCUGGAGUUAUGUUUGUUUGGAAAUGUAUUUAAAAAAGUAUAUGUUAGAAUUUGAUACUGAUACAAAUGUGAUACAGUGGUAUAGCGCCCUCUAGUG